UGGCCAUGACCAACAUGUCACAAUGCUGCA
rnacentral:piRNA from 1 species